GAUGAACGCUAGCGGCAGGCCUAACACAUGCAAGUCGAGGGAGGAGCUUUCGGGCUUCGACCGGCGUACGGGUGCGUAACGCGUAUACAAUCUGCCUUUCACAUAGGGAUAGCCCGAAGAAAUUUGGAUUAAUACCUAAUGGUAUAUAGAGGUGGCAUCACCUUUAUAUUAAAGCUGAGGCGGUGAAAGAUGAGUAUGCGUUCUAUUAGCUAGUUGGAGAGGUAACGGCUCCCCAAGGCGACGAUAGAUAGGGGUUCUGAGAGGGAUAUCCCCCACACUGGUACUGAGAUACGGACCAGACUCCUACGGGAGGCAGCAGUGAGGAAUAUUGGACAAUGGUCGGAAGACUGAUCCAGCCAUGCCGCGUGCAGGAAGACGGCCUUAUGGGUUGUAAACUGCUUUUGCAGGGGAAGAAUAAGGACUACGCGUAGUUUGAUGACG
rnacentral:rRNA from 1 species